rnacentral:rRNA from 1 species
GAUGAACGCUGGCGGCGUGCUUAACACAUGCAAGUCGAACGGGAAUUACUUUAUUGAAACUUCGGUCGAUUUAAUUUAAUUCUAGUGGCGGACGGGUGAGUAACGCGUGGGUAACCUGCCUUAUACAGGGGGAUAACAGUCAGAAAUGGCUGCUAAUACCGCAUAAGCGCACAGAGCUGCAUGGCUCGGUGUGAAAAGCUCCGGUGGUAUAAGAUGGACCCGCGUUGGAUUAGCUUGUUGGUGGGGUAACGGCCCACCAAGGCGACGAUCCAUAGCCGGCCUGAGAGGGUGAACGGCCACAUUGGGACUGAGACACGGCCCAGACUCCUACGGGAGGCAGCAGUGGGGAAUAUUGCACAAUGGGGGAAACCCUGAUGCAGCGACGCCGCGUGAAGGAAGAAGUAUCUCGGUAUGUAAACUUCUAUCAGCAGGGAAGAUAGUGACGGUACCUGACUAAGAAGCCCCGGCUAACUACGUG